rnacentral:rRNA from 1 species
GUCCAUGCCGUAACGGUGGGCGCUAGGUGUAGGGCUUCCACGUAUUCUGUGCCGUAGCUAACGCAUUAAGCGCCCGCCUGGGAGUACGGCCGCAAGGCUAAACUCAAAGGAAUUGACGGGCCCGCACAAGCGGCGGAGCAUGUGGAUUAAUUCGAUGCAACGCGAAAACCUUACCUACCCUUGACAUGUCAAGAAUCCCGGAGAGAUUUGGGAGUGCUCGAAAGAGAACUUGAACACAGGUGCUGCAUGGCCGUCGU